rnacentral:rRNA from 1 species
AACGAACGCUGGCGGCAGGCCUAACACAUGCAAGUCGAGCGGACCCUUCGGGGUUAGCGGCGGACGGGGGAGGAACGCGGGGGAACGGGGCCGUUGCUUCGGAAUAGCCCUGGGAAACGGGGGGUAAUACCGGGUACGCUCCGCUGGGGAAAGAUUUGUCGGAGGAGGAUCGGCAGGCGUUGGAUGCGGUAGGUGGUGGGGUAAGGGCCGACGAAGGCGUCGCUCGAUAGCGGGUUUGAGAGGCUGAUCCGCCACACUGGGGCUGGGCCACGGGCCAGACUCCUGCGCGAGGCAGCAGUGCGUGAUCCUGGCCUAUCGCGGAAGCCCUGAUCUCGCCCUGCCGCGUGAGCCAUGAAGUCCUUAGGGUUGUACAGCUCUUUAACCCGGGGCGAUACUGACGGUACCCGGAGAAGAAGCCCCGGCUAACUCCGUG